UUAACUCCGACGGCGAAAAUCCGACUGGGAAGAGUAUGUCGUUACACGACCAUUGCAGCAAGAACACGAAACCAGACCAUAAAUCAAUCUAAACACUCGCAUAUCUCCUUAUGCACACAUCCCAAAUCCAAAACAAAAUAGCUACGGCUCGAUACCACUGUUGGGAUAUGAAGUAAGCUACGCUAGCGCAAAUAAAAAAUUUUCUAUGGCGUAAACCAGGAAAACUGCCGUAUAAGGAUCACGGUAUUAC
rnacentral:lncRNA from 1 species